GUCGGUCCGUUAAAUGGGGCAUAAUUAGCAAGGAAAGCCCGAUUUCGGAAAGCGCGAAGGGGAGAAGCGCUGGCCAGGAGCGCGUGCCGGCAGCCUGGCCUGCGGAAGGGGUUCAACGGGCCACAGGGAGGCGCGCUAUAUACGCGAGUGGAUUUAUUCCUUCCCCAGAACCUCACCGACGGCGCCCCGCUCUUGCCUGGGACGCGAAGACAGCGGACGCCGCGCGAGGAAGAGGCGCCCCGCAGGACUUGAAAGGCCGGAGCUUAGACGCAGAGGCGCUGGGGAGGCGGGAGCCUGGCCUCGGAGGGUGGAGGAGAAAGGCUCCAUGAUUGGCAAGGACGGCAGAGUUCAGCCGCUGCUUUGCCAGCCUCCGGCCUCCAGCCUCCAGCGCCGGCUCUGAACAUGGCUGGCUCUUCUCCUCCGCCUGCUUCGGCCGAGUUUCCGCACGAGGAUGCACCGUGAUGACUGCCACAAAGCGGGGACAGCAUCUCGGGCGGCGCGAGCAGCACCAUCUUUUCCAGCAGCCGCCGAGGGCUCGGUUGUAAUGGAAACUGGGGGCGAUGCCAGCACAGCCCCUCCGCGGAGGGGAGGCGACGGCGAGUUAGCAACUGCUGGUGUAGCAGAAGCCGCCGGUUUCCAAGCGGCCGCCGCUCGCCCACCGGCUCCUGCGGGGGGAAAGGAUAUGAAUAUGGAUAAUGGGCCAGGCAGCGCUAGUCGAGGAGGCGGCGGCGGCGGCGGCGUGGAUCCUGCUGCAGUGCCGAAAGGAGGCAGAGCCGCGGCCCCCGCCCCCUUUCCCCGUGUGCCUUACGCCAAAGAUCCCAAAACAGCCCACCAGCGCUUUCUGCGGAGGAGUGUGGUGGAUUCCGAUCAGGAGGAACCCCCCUUUGAGCCCGCGGAGUCGCAGCAACAGCAGCAGCAGCCCAAAAAGAUCCUCAUCCUCUCCAAAACCAGGCGGAUAAUCGCCGAGAGGGCGAAAGCGGGGCAGAGGCCCGUGGUGGUGGAAGAGGAGCCCGCCGGGCAGGUGAAGGGGGUGGCCGCCGAGAGGCUCUCGGCAGGUGACCAGGCGAAGGAGGGCGGCGGCAAGGAGGAUGCCGGGAAAAAAGAGGUGCCCGAAUCUUCCAAGGAUCAGGGCAAGUCCAAGAAAGAGGAGGCCGAAGAAGAGGAGGAGGAGGCCGAUAUGAAGGCGGUGGCCACCUCCCCCGAUGGCAGGUUCCUAAAGUUUGAUAUUGAACUUGGCAGAGGAUCUUUCAAAACGGUCUAUAAGGGGCUCGACACGGAAACGUGGGUUGAAGUUGCUUGGUGCGAACUUCAGGAUCGAAAGCUGACAAAAGUGGAACGGCAAAGAUUUAAAGAAGAAGCAGAAAUGUUGAAAGGUCUUCAGCACCCAAAUAUUGUUAGGUUUUAUGAUUUUUGGGAGUCGUGUUUAAAAGGAAAAAAGUGUAUUGUGCUGGUAACAGAACUGAUGACCUCCGGAACUCUGAAAACCUAUUUGAAGAGAUUUAAAGUGAUGAAACCAAAAGUUCUUCGUAGCUGGUGUCGGCAAAUCCUAAAAGGUCUUCUUUUUCUGCACACUCGAACACCACCAAUUAUUCAUAGAGAUUUAAAAUGUGACAAUAUUUUUAUAACUGGGCCAACUGGAUCUGUGAAGAUAGGAGAUUUGGGUCUGGCAACUCUUAAGAGAACUUCAUUUGCCAAAAGUGUCAUAGGUACUCCAGAAUUUAUGGCCCCAGAAAUGUACGAAGAACACUAUGAUGAAUCAGUGGAUGUAUAUGCUUUUGGAAUGUGUAUGUUGGAAAUGGCUACCUCAGAAUAUCCAUAUUCAGAAUGCCAGAAUGCUGCUCAAAUUUAUAGGAAAGUAACCUCUGGUGUCAAACCAGCAAGUUUUGAUAAAGUUACUGAUCCUGAAAUUAAGGAGAUAAUUGGAGAGUGUAUUUGCAAAAAUAAAGAAGAGAGAUAUGAAAUUAAAGAUUUAUUAAGCCAUGCCUUCUUUGCUGAGGAUACUGGGGUGAGAGUGGAACUUGCAGAAGAAGACGAUGGUAGGAAGUCCUCUAUUGCCUUAAGACUCUGGGUAGAAGAUGCUAAGAAAUUGAAAGGGAAGUCCAAAGAUAAUGGAGCCAUUGAGUUUACUUUUGAACUGGAGAAAGAAACUCCUGAUGAUGUUGCACAAGAAAUGGUUGAUGCUGGAUUCUUUCAUGAAAGUGAUGUCAAAAUAAUUGCAAAAUCAAUACGUGACAGAGUAGCCUUAAUACAGUGGAGAAGAGAGAGGAUAUGGCCCAUGUUGCAUUCAGAAGAUCACCGGGAGCCAGAAAGCUUAGAAAAAACGAAGGCCACACAAGCACAACCACUUCAGAUUACACACCCUUCUCAUGCUGGUCAUCAGAUUCCAUCAGAACCAGACGAGCCUGAAGUGGACCAGCAUCUUUCUCAACAAAAUCUGCCCACAAGUAUCACUUCACUUGCAUCUGAUAGCACAUUUGACAGUGGUCAAGGAUCAACUGUGUACUCAGACUCCCAGAGUAGCCAGCAAAGUGUGAUCUACUCAUCGAUUCCUGAUGCAAUACCUCCAGCUGUUCACCGUGUUUAUAGCCCACCUCUCAGUGAGAGCCAGACUUUGCCACAUGGUCUUCAGCAGACAGGGCCCUACCAGCAACCCUCCGUACCUGGACUUCCAGUGGUUCAGGGUCCAACUGCUGUUGUGCCUCCACGGCCACAACUGUAUCCAGAACCAGCAAUUCCAUUUCCUGUUGUCCAUCCCACCUCAGUUGCCCCUGUGCAGAUGAGACAACCUCAGCCUGUAUUAGUCAGCCAGCAGCAAUCCAUCUCAAGCUCAACCCCUUUACAGCAAGUUCUCAGCAACCAGCCUGUGUGCCCAGUACAGCAAUCUGCACCUCACCUGUUGUCCCAGUUUCAAACGCCCAGUUCUCAUAUGGCAGCUACCAGUACACCACUGGCACCUCUGCAGGUCCCCCCUGUGCAAUCAGUUCCACCUACUCAAAUUCCUCAGUUUCCCAUCAUUCCUGCAGUCACCCCUCUGGCAGGACUUGACAGUCAUCCUUCAAACCUGUCCGAUAUACCUGCUGCAAAUAUGCCCCCCAACCCUGCUCCUUCUCAAUAUUUUCCUUCAGCUGUGAUAAUACCUGUGAACUCAGCUCUGCCACUGUCAUCAAAUUCCCCUGCCCUCCCCAUGCAAGCAGUCAACCUUCCUCAUACUAAUGUGGCUUCUUUGGUCUUACCCUGCCAAACAAUUGUGCCAAAUAUGCCGGCUGCUCCAGUACCAUUACUUCCUAUGCCUCUGCCGGGAGUGUCAGCUUUACCAACACAUCAUGCAACAGCCCAGCUCUCCCAACAACAAAUGUACCAGGCUACCCUCCAGCAGAUAAUGCAGAACGAAGCUAUGUCUUCUCCCCUCCACACUCAGAAUAUGCAAGCAGUUUCACAACAGCAGCAACAGAUGCUGUCUUCACUUCCACAGUCACUUCAGCCAAGCAUAAUUCAUCCUUCAGAACAGGCUAUGUCUGCUUCUGGGGCUGAUAAUCAGAUUAUUGGACAUCCUCAGUACGCUGUGGAUAUUGGAACCCAUAUACCUGCAUUGCCAGUGCAGGCUUCUGCCAUUAUAUCACCACCAUUGCAAUUGCAGCCUGAAGCAAUGCUGCCCUGUAUUGCUUCAGAUGGACUUUCACAAAACAAUCUUGGCACAACUAAUUCAGCAAUGUUGGCAGAUCAUGGAUUGCCCCUUCAAUGUUCUGCUUACCCGCAAUCUCAGCCAGACAGUCACCAGCUUCCUGGCCAGCAGGUUCCAACUACAUGUCCAGUUGUCCCAGUAGCUUCAGAACCUCCUCAAGAGAUGGAGCAAGCAGUACUGGAAAAACAGCAGUCACUGUCACAGAGCUGCGAAAGUUAUAUGAGUCCUGAUGUUGCUUCUGGUAAAGAGAUGAGUGACAGUUUUGAAGGAACAAGUGGAGGUGGGAAACAAGAAGGAAAACCUUCAAAGAAACAUAAAAAAUCAGCACGUGCUCGUUCGCGCCAGGAAAAAUCCAACAGGCCCAAGCUUACCAUUUUAAAUGUGUGCAAUACAGGGGAUAAGAUGGUGGAAUGCCAACUAGAAACACACAAUCACAAGAUGGUCACUUUUAAAUUCGAUUUAGAUGGUGACGCUCCAGAGGAAAUUGCUACAUAUAUGGUUGAAAAUGAAUUUAUACUACCAACUGAGAAAGAGAUAUUUAUUGAGCAACUAAAAGAAAUUAUUGACAAAGCAGAAGAUAUGCUUAGUGAAGAUACUGAAGGGGAACGAAGUUCUGAUCAAGGUGUCAGCCCUCAACAAGAUACCUACAAGCUUGAAAUCAGUGAGGAAAAUCGCCAAUCCCAUGCAAGAACGCCCAUCUACCAACAGAAUGUUCUGCAUACUGGGAAACGUUGGUUUAUCAUUUGUCCUGUUGUGGAAAAUCAAGCUGCUGAAGUACCAGAAUUCUCUUCUCAUGCGCCUCAAAGUGCAAAGCAGUCUGACGCCCCAGGUCUGGAGCUGUUGGAUGAUCAGCAACAGAGCUCUGCAGUAACAGAAAAACAAACAAGCAUAGCUUAUCAACAUAUUUCUAAUCAACUUAGCUCCAAUGAGUGUCCCAGGGGAACUCCUCCUCCUUCUCCUUUAACACAAGUUUCUGUUCCAUCUUCAUUAACUUCCCUUUCACAGGUCCAUCCAAUAUUAGCUUCAACCACGCUAGAAAAAAUUGCUGAAAGUACAAGUCACCUAGAAUGCCCUUUGCCACAAUCAGUCUUAGCCAGCCAGUGUGACACCCUUGCCCAUACUACAGCUAUAUCUGAAGAACAUUUUGAUAAGGUCCCUCUAAAUACCUCAUUGCACACAGUACAAAAGAAAGAUGAGAAAAUCAGUUUUCCCAAUAUAGAACACGAACAUAGCACAGCUGGACUGCCAAAACCAUUUCAGUCUGUUCCUGUCAUCUCUGAUGCUCCUCUUUUGGAACUUCAAUCUUCAACCCAACCCCCCAGUUUGUCAGACAAUACUCAGCUUGGCCAGAUAUCACAUUCUUUUGUAGACCAGAUACCUCCUAUGCCUGCUGCCUCUGAACUUCCGGUUUCAGCAACAUCUCAACUUUCAAGUCCUCCUCACCUCUCAACAGCUGUAUCCCAAUUGCAUAUGCCAACCCAGUCCCAGCCGGUUGCAUCCAGUGGCUCUGCCAUGACUGCACCUCAACCACCUUGUAUGGUAGAAUCAGAUGGUGAAGGGCCACCCAGAGUUGAUUUCACUGACAACACAAUAAAGAGUUUGGAUGAGAAACUUCGCAACCUGCUGUAUCAGGAGUAUAUUCCAACAUCAUCUGCUUCAGCAGCAACACCAGACCAAGUGGAUGGUGAAUUUAAUCUUGCACCUUUGCCUGCACUUGUGUUAGAUUUGAAAAUUCCUGGAGUUGGCUUGGAUGCUCACAUGGCUGAAGAUCAACCCUCUCCAAUUCUGGCAAAACAAUCUGAUGUUUCAUGCACCGGGAUCCAGCAUUCAGAAAUAAACAAAGAAGGUCAAGAUGCAAAUGUCAGUUCACCUACUACUAUCUUAACAUCAGGAUACACUCAGGUUGUUUCUUCUUCACUUACAGCAGACCAGAAGGACAUUGCCAAGAAAAACAAAUAUCAAAAAGAUGGUUUUAUAGACUCCAAUGUCAAAGAAGCGGAAACACCAGCAAAAACUAUAGGCAGAUUUUCAGUGAUCAGCACUCAGGAUGAAUUAACUUUAUCAUCUGUGCAUUCCUUGAGGUAUUCUGCACCCCCAGAUGUUUAUCUGGACAAUCAGCCUUCUAGCCCUGAUACAAAGUCACCUCUGCGCCGUGUGCAGACGGCUUCCUCUUUUGAUGUCCUUUAUGGAAAAGAUUCCAGUGAUUCUGGAGAUGAAUCUUUUCCAGGAAAACCAGAUGCAUCUCCAUUGUCACUUCAGAGCAGUAGACUGGGAAACGACAACUUUAAAAAGACUUCAUGUAUUCUGCAAAAGUCAGUAAAGUCAAGUUCACAGGGCCUUAAUUCUCCAAAUGGUCAUGGAUCAAAAAUCCCAACUAUCAACAUAACUUCUUUCCAUUCUCAGUCAUCAUACGUGAGUAGUGACAAUGACUCAGAGUUUGAAGAUGCAGACAUGAAAAAAGAAUUGCAGAACCUGAGAGAAAAACACAUGAAAGAAAUUACUGAGUUGCAGUCCCAACAGAAAAAAGAAAUAGAAGCUUUGUACUUCCGUCUGGGAAAACCACUGCCACCCAAUGUCGGGUUCCUUCAUUCUGCUCCACCAAGUGGCCGCCGAAGAAGAACAAGCAAGCACAAAUUAAAAACUGGGAAAUUGCUAAACCCCGUUGUCCAGCAGCUCAAAACAUCAAGUACAAGCAAUAUAUCAGAGCAUAAAGACCCUUUGGCUAAGGGAAGCACUAGAGCUCAAACAGACUCUACUGAAGCAACAGGACUGACUGUGUCCACAUCAGCCAUACUUGAGAGCUCAGUUCAGACUCAGCAACCUUGCUCUGUCAAGGCUUCAUUAUCGUCUGACAUUUGCUCUGGAGUGGCUUCUGAAGGAGGUGAUGUCCGUGGAAAUUCUGGCCAAGGCUGGACGGUUUUCCACCAAACGUCUGAGAGAGUGACCUAUAAAUCUAGUAGCAAACCUCGUACCAGAUUCCUCAGUGGACCUGUGUCUUUGUCCAUCUGUUUGUAUUUGUUCUUUUGUAUUUUAUCACAGCCCAUCUUUCUUUUGUCAUCUUUUUCAAAACUCAUUUUCAUCGAUUUAUCUAAUAUGCUUGGCAGGAAGCCCCUUCUUGUAGACAAUCACUCCCCCCUCCCUUUUUUUAAAGUAAUCAUCUUAAUUUAAUUUAUUUUGUUUCAUAUGGAAAGCUUUUGAACACUGCUUUUGGCUCAUGCCUGGGUAUCAAAAGCAUGUGUGGAAGAUCUCAUCAAUUUAUUCUAUAGUCUUAUGGUAAAUUCUUAUCUUGGACGUAUCUUUAUGUGAUUUUGCGUUGGAGUAAUUUUUAAUUUGCAAUGUGACAGUUAUAAAUGUCUGCUGUCCUGAUUCCGGUGAUAUCAAAUCGAAACCCAGGCUUCUGUAAACGAAUGGUCUCUUUCACACAUGCUUGGACUAUGAAGACAUGCAUGUAGCAAGCUGAUACAAUUCUAGAAGGUCACUGAAGGGUAGAACAUCUGCACAAGGGCUGUAUUCAAACAAUAUACAGUACUGUUUAUAUCCACUUUGUUGUUGUUGUUAUUGUUGUUAUUAUUAUGUUAUUUUUCCUGUCCCUUGCAUGUAGAAAUGCUGAGAAAUGCUCCUGCUAGCUCUUUAACAACAUCUUUUCUAGGCAGCAUUUCCCCCCACAUUGUCUACUUUUGGCUUACUUUAAAUGAAUUUUCUUAAAUGUGAUUGUUUGGUUAUCACAAAGUACAAUAUGGCUUUUAUUAGACAUUCAUCUAGCUGGAGCACUUUACUCAGUUAAUUUUUUAUUAUGACCUUAUGUGACCUCAGAGAUGAAGUCAACAAGCAGUUCAUCAAAGCACAGAAUAAAUUAAAAUUCCCAAUGCCACUCUCAGAAUAGUCUAUUGAUAUCAUGUCCAGAUGCAACUAAAACUAGACUGUUCUUAAUUGUAUGAUUAUACGAAUUGGCUAUUCAACCAGUUGUCACAAAUAUUUAUUUUUAAGUUUGUUUUUGUAAAACAAAUGCUUAUUAUAAGGCAAAAUACUUUGGGAUAUUUUGGUACAAUAAGGCUAUAUUGUACUAAUGAGAAAAAUCUAGGCCAUAGUUACAAAUAAGAUAAAAUAGUGCCAAUAUAUAGAGAUAUUUAUAUUUAGUUAACAUUCAGCAAAUUCAGUAUUCAUUUUCAUCAAACUUUUAUCAUUGGAACUAUACAUCUCUAUCAUUAUUACAAGGGUACAAAUCAAAGGCACAAAGCUACUUAAAAUUCAUCCUUCUUGCUCUCCAUUUUCAAUAAAAUAAUGUCAACAUUUUUAGACUUAACAACGAAAGGGCUUUUAAGUAUUCAUAAACAUCUUUGUAUAUGAAAACCAUAAUAUUAAAAUUCAGAUAUAAUUUCAAGCUAAAGAAAUCUAAUAUUCUUGGAUUAUUUGCAAUAUAAAACUUAUUUGGUAGUUCUGUGUGGUACUCCAUGCAUGAUAUGUAUGCAGAAGAUCCAAGUUCAGUGUCUGGCAAUUGCAAGGAGAACUGGAAAAGUUCUUCUCUAGAACCUGGGACAAUUAGUACUACUUGAUAUUAAAACUGGUGGGCAUUUUUUCACCAUCUAUCAUACUGGUUUACAGGAGCCAAUGAUCUGACUCAAUAUAAGGCUCUUUCCAGUAUAAAUAUGUUCAGAAUGAUACAUUUAGUUGUUUUUGACAGCCAAGCUCUACAGAGCAAUUAUUAAUGUUAUGAUACCAAUGUUGGUAAUUGCAUUGGGUUUAUAGACCAAUAUGGUCAAAGAUAGGUGAGGAACUGUUCUACAGGUAGUCCUCAACUUACAACAAUUCAUUUAGUGACUGUUAGAAAUUAUAACAGCACUGAAAAAAGUGAUUUAUGACCAUUUUCACACUAAUGACCAGUGCAGCAUCCCCAUGGGCACGUGAUCAAAAUUCAGAUGCUUGGCAACCAACUCAUAUUUAUGAUGGUUGCAGUGUCCUGGAGUCAUGUGACUACCUUUUGUGACCUUCUAAUGAGCAAGUCAAUGGAGAGCCAGAUUCACUUCACAACCAUGUUACUAAUGUAACAAUUAUGGCAAGAAAGAUUGUAAAAUGGGACAAAACUCACUUAAUAACAGACAUUUUGGGCUCAAUUAUGAUUAUAAGUUGAGGACUAUGUGUAUUCUGUUUCUCUUAUAAGUAUUCAUUCCAGUUCUUAGUAAGUAUCUCACAGAUUAUAGGAAAAUACUCAAAAGUUAACUUUUAUCCCUAAGCUGUGAUAUUAUUAAUGGCUUUAUGUGGUACAAAAUGAAUCACUGAAUUUUAUGGGAUGAGAUACCAAUUGACUUCUGGUGAACCAGCAAAGUCAUAACAAUGUUCUCCUUAUACUUUAUGGGCACAUGUAUGGGCACAGGGAAUAUAAUUCUGUAGAUUACUUUAGCAAGUUGAAACCAAAGUUACACAUAAGAAAUCUCUUAAAAUCUGGAAAAAUAUUUCUAGAAAAAAAUAAUUUAUAGUAGUUUGAGUAGAAGCUGUUUUCUUUUUUAAAAGAUUUAAAUCUGCACAUAAUGCUUGGAAACAUUGAUCGUAAUUAUAAACUUAAAAUCUAAUUAUAUGACCAUCUUGGCUAUGUGUUCUCUUAAAACUUAAUUGUUGUAUAGUACUAACUUUAAAUACAGUGCAAAGUACAAAGGUAACAGGUCAUGUUGAUGGUUAUUUAUUUAAUCAAUAAGAUGGUUAAGGAUUUACUGUCUUGUAUAUAAACAAAAAUGCAUUUGCAUAUGGUUACUGCAAGGAAAUUGUCAGAAGAAGCCACUGAAAAAUUAAUACAUAGGAAAAUAUGUUAAAUAUAGGCAUGGUCUCAUCACUGACUUUGACCUCUCUCCAAAAUCAAAAAUCAAAGAAUUCAGUGAUAUUUAUAGGAAGGAAGGAAGGAAUAGAUGUAUAUAUAUAUAUAUCAACUGAUCUUCUUUUGAGAUAUUUAUUACGGAGAGAAAGGAAUUAUAUCUAAUCAUAUGUUCACUAUACAAUGCUGUUUUUUACCACAUUUUGAUUCCCACAUGAAGUAUAAUAAUGAAUGUAAAAAAUUAUUUCUUUGGAGCUAUGUCCAAUUCAUGUGUCAUAUCAGCAGACAUCAAUUAAUCUGUAGUCAUAUUUUAUUGUUCUGGCACUAAAACAAGUAUCUUGUUUACACACACACAUACAUGCAUUACUAUCAAAGUUUGAAAUGAUUUGGGUUCUAUUUGCAUGCAAAGAUGGGUAAUCUUUGCACCAUAUCAGAAACCACUUGAUUAAUCAUGGUGGACAGCAAUACCAAUACGUACCUAAUAAUGAAUAACCCCCUAAGACACCAUCACAAUAUUACAAAGGCAAAGAAGGUAGGUUAUAUAAAUAAAACAGAAAAAGAAAAAUUUAAACCAGCUAGAGCUAGACCAAUUAAUAACCUUCCUGCUGACUUUCUGUCAGAAUAAAUAGAUCUCCUUAUUUUGUCUUUUUAGCCUGUUGUUAACACUGCAGUGGAUUUAACUGAAUAUUCUUAACCAAGCAGUAGGAUUUUUCUACUCUGCUCAUCAAAUAAAUAACAAAGAAUGAUAGGAAAUGCUAUCUCCUCUACAGUAGAGCUGGUCCACCCUGAAACGACUAUGUCUAGGCA